rnacentral:rRNA from 1 species
GAUGAACGCUAGCGGCAGGCUUAAUACAUGCAAGUCGAGGGGCAGCACGGUUAGCAAUAACUGGUGGCGACCGGCGCACGGGUGCGUAACACGUAUACAAUCUACCUUAAACAGGGGGAUAGCCUUUCGAAAGAGAGAUUAAUACCCCGUAAUAAAUUGAACGGCAUCGUUUGAUUUUGAAAGCUCCGGCGGUUUGAGAUGAGUAUGCGUCUGAUUAGCUAGUUGGUGAGGUAACGGCUCACCAAGGCGAUGAUCAGUAGGGGAUCUGAGAGGACUAACCCCCCACACUGGUACUGAGACACGGACCAGACUCCUACGGGAGGCAGCAGUAAGGAAUAUUGGUCAAUGGAGGCAACUCUGAACCAGCCAUGCCGCGUGCAGGAUGACGGCCCUAUGGGUUGUAAACUGCUUUUUAUACAAGAGAAAACCCUGGUACGUGUACCAGGUUGAUAGUAUUGUAAGAUAAGCAUCGGCUAACUUCGUGCCAGCAGCCGCGUAAU